rnacentral:rRNA from 1 species
AUACGUAGGUGGCAAGCGUUGUCCGGAAUUAUUGGGCGUAAAGCGCGCGCAGGUGGUUCCUUAAGUCUGAUGUGAAAGCCCCCGGCUCAACCGGGGAGGGUCAUUGGAAACUGGGGAACUUGAGUGCAGAAGAGGAUAGUGGAAUUCCAAGUGUAGCGGUGAAAUGCGUGGAGAUUUGGAGGAAUACCAGUGGCGAAGGCGACUUUCUGCGCUGUAACUGGCGCUGGAGCGACAAAGCGUGGAGCGCAAACAGGCUUUGGCUCCCUCGUUGCCCACGCCGUACACGAUGAGUGCUAAGUUUUAUUGGGUUUCCGCCCCUUAGUGCUGCAGCUAACACAUUAAGCACUCCGCCUGGGCAGUACGGUCGCAAGACGGAAACUGAAAGGAAUUGACGGGG